rnacentral:rRNA from 1 species
GAUGAACGCUGGCGGCGUGCUUAACACAUGCCAGUCGAACGGUGAACACGGAGCUUGCUCUGUGGGAUCAGUGGCGAACGGGUGAGUAACACGUGAGCAACCUGCCCCUGACUCUGGGAUAAGCGCUAGAAACGGCGUCUAAUACUGGAUAUGUGACGUGACCGCAUGGUCUGCGUUUGGAAAGAUUUUUCGGUUGGGGAUGGGCUCGCGGCCUAUCAGCUUGUUGGUGAGGUAAUGGCUCACCAAGGCGUCGACGGGUAGCCGGCCUGAGAGGGUGACCGGCCACACUGGGAUUGAGACACGGCCCAGACUCCUACGGGAGGCAGCAGUGGGGAAUAUUGCACAAUGGGCGAAAGCCUGAUGCAGCAACGCCGCGUGAGGGAUGACGGCCUUCGGGUUGUAAACCUUUUUUAGCAGGGAAGAAGCGAAAGUGACGGUACCUGCAGAAAAAGCGCCGGCUAACUACGUG